rnacentral:rRNA from 1 species
GACAGAGGGUGCAAACGUUUGUUCGGAAUUACUGGGCGUAAAGCGCGUGUAGGCGGCCCUGCAAGUCGGAUGUGAAAUCCCACGGCUCAACCGUGGAAGUGCAUUCGAAACUGCAGGGCUAGAGUCCUGGAGAGGAAGGUGGAAUGCUUGGUGUAGAGGUGAAAUUCGUAGAUAUCAAGCGGAACACCGGUGGCGAAGGCGGCCUUCUGGACAGUGACUGACGCUGAGACGCGAAAGCGUGGGGAGCAAACUAGGAGUUAGAUGACCCAU